CAGUUAAUUUUUUUUGAUAGAAUGCAGGGAUCACACUGUACAAGGAUGUACUACUGGAGGUAUAUCUCCAGAGGUAGUAAUCUGCUGACAGUAGCAUAUAUACUGGUCAGAAUCUGUAAUUGUUCCAGAGUUUUGAAUAUUAAUUUUACGUUCCAAGGAAAUGGACACUGAUUCAAGAAUUGCAAGAUAGUUGGAGGUGAUGAGGAGCUCAUUCCAUUCGCUAUUAAUUAGGAGGAUAGAUAUGUGUCAACUGGAAGGUAUAUGUCCACUACUAUUAUACGAAAUUGCAGUUCUGGACAGGUGGGCUGCCAAUAUUGCUCUCUGUAUGAUUUCCUCUCAUAUACAGAUUUUUACACUUUGAAAAAUGGCCUAUUACAGGAUCAGGUAGCCAAGAUUGAAGACUAAACCUCAUGGAACAUGCAUGAGAGGAGACCAACUUUGCAAUGGGAGCAAGAACAAUGGGACCAGCUGUUGACUUUGCUCAGACAACAGAGAUUAAGCAAUGAGCCUGACAACUGGAUAUGGUGCCCUACAAGUAAGGAGUCUUUCACAGUCAAAAGUUUUUAUGAUAAACUUGAAGAAGAAAGGAGAGCCCUCAAUGCUGCUACACUGCCUGGUUUCCCUUACAACUUGGUAGGGUCUACUGAUAUCCCUUGUAAGAUCAAUUUUUUUUUUCUGGUGCUCUGUACAAGGUAGAAUCCAAACCACGGAUCACCUUGUCAGAAGAGGAAUGGACCUGCCUGACGUAUGCAUUGUCUCUAAGCAGUACCCUGAAACUGCUACACACUUCACUGGUUGUAAGGGUACUGGAGAAAUGGCCAAGGCAUAGGAGAAAAGGGAUCGGAGCAAACUUACUAAGUCUCUUACCUUAUGCAAUUAUGUGGAAUGUAUGGCUCACAAGGAAUGAUUACAUCUUCAAAGUGAAGCCGCCUAAUCUCGACAAACUCUGAAGCAGAAUUAAGCUUCUCUGUAGUUCUGGAUUGGAGGUAGAGCUCUGAACAAAUAUUAUACCUAUGCAUGCAGAUCUGACCAACAACUGGGAGUUAAUGCUGCUGCUGUAAUUGUCGAUUGUAAUUUGCUUUGGUUAUGUACACACUCAAGAGUUGUGAACUAUAAUACUAUAUGCAGUGAAUCUCUCUCUCACUGUCAUCUUGUUACCAUCAAUUAAAAGCGCCAAUUUAUCUAAAAAAGAAACCCUCAGACAUAGCAAUUUCAAUUCACUACAGUAAUUAUAAGUUGACAUUACUCAC
rnacentral:lncRNA from 1 species